AUUGAACGCUGGCGGCAGGCCUAACACAUGCAAGUCGAGCGGAGCGGCGGACGGGUGAGUAAUGCCUAGGAAUCUGCCUGGUAGUGGGGGAUAACGUACGGAAACGGGCGCUAAUACCGCAUACUAUCAGAUGAGCCUAGGUCUGAUUAGCUAGUUGGUGGGGUACAGGCCUACCAAGGCGACGAUCCGUAACUGGGCUGAGAGGAUGAUCAGUCACACUAGAACUGAGAAACGGUCCAGACUCCUCCGGGAGGCCGCCUUGGGGAACAUUGGACUAUGGGCGAAAGCCUGAUCCAGCCCUGCCGCGUGUUUGACGAGGGUCUUCGGAUUUUAAAGCACUUUUCGUUGGGAGGCGUUACCAACAGAAUAAGCACCGGCUAACUUCGUGCCAGCAGCCGCGGUAAUUC
rnacentral:rRNA from 1 species